rnacentral:lncRNA from 1 species
CGAAGCCCAGUUUGAUCAGUUUCACUCGAUCACAGGGAAGCCCAUUUCAGCCCAUCAGAUGCUUGAUCGCAAAGUCUUGUUGUGAAGACCACUAUCCCGAACUUUCCUUAUUUAACUUUUUUCGCUUAUAUAAGCAGCCUCUAAGGGUUUUCCCUAGGGCAUCCAGUUUUUAUUUUCAGUUUUUACCUAGACUCGUUUUGGUAGCCGCAGUGUGUUCUUCCUGCGACUUUGUAUUUGCUUUCAAGUAUUUUAUAAUUCAGUUUUUGUUUCACUCUUUAUCAUUUCUUGUUAUCAUGUUUUCUAUCGUUUCAUUGCUAUUGUUUUUGAUUAUGUCUGAGUAGUGAAGUGUAUUUCUGAGGAUGGGAUAGAGUGGUCGUGGUUGUCUUAGUCGAUUUAGAUGGUUGAGUUUAGAUUGUUUGAAUCCCUUCUGGAUUAGUUGCGCUUAUUGCUUGUUCCUUUCUGAUCAACUGGAAAAUGAAUCCAGACAUUCCCGCACCUAAAAGGUGUUUGAUGGAAUGUUUGAUCCACUAAUUCCAGAGAUACUCGUCUCUAUCCCAAGGUAUUGGCCGUUUAGAGCGGGUAUUGGCUUUAACAAGUUGAUUCGAUAUUGCCUGCUUAGUUAGAGAUCGCUAAUGGUGAUUAGGUCUGUGUCUAGCUCUGCUUGAGAAUUUCUAUCACGGUGGUGAAUUGAUUUGCUUUUGAACUUGUUGUCAAGGGAUAGCUUCUGUGAAGUUUUGUCAACCAUCUAAAUAGAUUAAGGAGACCACGCUAUUCGAUUACCCUGUCCUUAGGAAUCUCUCAUCCAUUUGAUUGCCUGCUAUUUUACCUGCUUUAUUAUUCAACUGCCUGCUAUUGCUAGUUUGCAUCUCGGUUUCAUUUCAUUUCUGUUAUUUCGCAUUAGGAUUGUUAGAAAACAACAACUCUCUGCUUGGCUUGACUUAGCAAAUUCUGAUCAUAUCUCAUCUGUUUGCAUCGCACUAGAUUGGAUUGAUACCCUAAAAUACUACGACGACACGAUAGUGUUUUAGGUUUAAUUGAUCUGAAAAGUCUAUUAUCAAUUUGGCGCCGUUGCCAGUUUAGUGUUUGUUUGCUAUAUUUGAGAUCAUUAGAAUCGUUAAGAUCAAGUUCGUUUUUGUUACACAAGAUACUGACAUUGUGUUUUUCUGUCUGUGUUUCAGGUACUCACAGCAACCAGCUUUACAGACUCAUCUUUGAUUGGUCUGCUAAAGCCUUGCUGUUACCUGUUAUAUGCAUACACGGUCAAGAGGAAAUCAGAAUCUCCUUUUCAACGAUAACAUCGACCGUAUCGCUCGCCAACUAAGAGAACAAAAAGCAACAGACACAAUGGCUGAUAUUGUAGAUGACCAAGACCAACCCAACAACAUUGGUGCUGGUGACUUCCCACACAAUCACAACCAGCGUCAUGGAAUUGUUCCUCCACCAGUCCAGAACAACAACUUUGAGAUCAAGAGCGGUCUCAUUGCAAUGGUUCACGGGAACAAGUUUCACGGCUUGCCAAUGGAGGAUCCGCUUGAUCAUCUUGACGAGUUUGAAAGGCUCUGUGGCCUUACUAAAAUCAAUGGAGUAAGUGAAGAUGGUUUCAAGCUUCACUUGUUUCCAUUCUCACUUGGAGACAAAGCCCAUCUGUGGGAAAAGACGCUACCCCGGGGUUCAAUCACGACCUGGGAUGACUGCAAAAAAUCCUUCUUGGCUAAAUUCUUCUCCAACUCCAGAACAGCAAGACUCCGGAAUGAGAUAUCCGGAUUCACUCAGAAGAAUGCUGAAACCUUCUGUGAAGCAUGGGAGCGCUUCAAAGGUUAUCAGACCAAAUGCCCUCAUCACGGCUUUGGAAAAGCUUCUCUUCUCAGCACACUCUACAGAGGCGUCCUUCCCAAGAUAAGGAUGCUACUUGACACCGCUUCCAAUGGGAACUUCCUCAACAAAGACGUUGGAGAAGGGUGGGAGCUCGUUGAAAACUUAGCUCAGUCGGAUGGCAAUUACAACGAGGAUUAUGACAGAAGCAUCCGCACUAGUACUGACACUGAUGACAAGCACCGCAAAGAGAUGAAAGCUCUCAAUGACAAACUUGACAAGCUCCUGCAAGUGCAACAGACGCAUGUUCACUUCGUCUCUGAAGAUGAACAAUUCCAAGUCCAAGAGGGGGAGAAUGAUCAGUCUGCUGAAAUCAGUUACAUUCAGAACCAAGGUGGCUACAACAACUACAGACCAAACCCGAAUCUGUCAUACAGAAGCAACAAUGUUUCCAACCCUCAAGACCAAGUUUAUCCUUCUCAGCAGCAGCAGCAACAACAACCCAAACCGUUUGUUCCAUACAACCAAGGUCAAGGGUUCGUUCCAAAGCAGCAGUUCCAGGGAGGAUAUCAAUAACAGCAACCACCACCUGGUUUCCCAUCACAGCAACAUCAAGCACCUUCGCCUCCGGAUUCUGAUAUAAAGAACAUGGUCCAACAGAUACUUCAAGGGCAAGCCACAGGAGCGAUGGAAAUUGCAAAAAAGUUGGCUGAAUUAAACAACAAAGUCGACCGCAAUUUCUGUAACCUUAACAACAAGUUUGAAUCAUUGAGUACUAGACUACGCUAUCUGGAAGCCAAUCCUAUUUCAACAUCCAUUUCCAACAACCCAGGCCAACUUCCAGGGAAAGCAAUCCAGAACCCAAAGGAGUAUGCCACUGCUCAUGCUAUCACUAUCUGCUAUGAUCGAGAGCUGCCAACUCGACAUGCCCUUAACUCAAUCACUGAGGGCAGUGUGGUUCAAGAGGGGGAGGAUUUUUGUCAAGAUGACGUUAUGGCUGACCAAACACUAGAGGAGCCCAUACUCGACAAGCAGUCUACUCGCCCACCAGCUUCACCAGUCGCUCCCACUGUUGAAAAACCAGCUGCUGCAAAGACCAAGGAUACAGUCUUGGUGCCACCACCUUACAAACCCCCGCUUCCAUUCCCUGGUCGAUUCAAGAAAGUGCUUAUUAAGAAGUAUCAAGCCCUCCUGGAAAAACAACUGAAAGACCUCGAAGUAACGAUGCCUCUAGUGGACUGUCUUGCACUAAUACCAGAUUCCCACAAGUAUGUGAAGGAUAUGAUCACGAAGAGAAUCAGAGAAGUUCAAGGAAAGGUGGUUUUGAGUCAUGAGUGCAGUGCAAUCAUCCAAACGAAGAUUAUUCCCAAGAAAUUGGGAGAUCCUGGUUCGUUUACCUUACCUUGCUCUCUAGGUCCUUUAGCCUUCAGUAACUGCCUCUGUGAUCUAGGUGCUUCUAUAAGUCUCAUGCCUCUCUCUGUGGCCAAUAGACUGGGUUACAGCAAGUAAAAAUCUUGCAACAUCUCCUUGAUCUUGGCAGAUAGGUCUGUUAGACUACCUCAUGGGUUAUUAGAAGAUUUGCCUAUAAGGAUUGGAAAUGUUGAAGUGCCCACAGACUUCAUAGUGCUAGAAAUGGAUGAAGAACCAAAAGAUCCUUUAAUCAUAGGAAGGCCCUUCUUAGCAACAGCCGGAGCAGUCAUAGAUGUUAAAAAAGGGAAGAUUGAUCUUAAUCUUGGAAAAGAUUUUAAGAUAAAGUUGGACAUCAAUGAUGCUAUAAAGAAGCCGACAAUAAAAGGACAAACCUUCAUGGUUAAGGAAAUGGAUCGGCUAGCUGAUGAACUGCUAGAGGAGCUUGCUGAUGAAGAUCGCCUUCAAACUGCUUUAACAAAGAGUGGUGAAGCUGGGUAUCUCCCAAGUGAGACCUUUAGCUCUGAGAACUUAUUAGACUCACGCAAGGCAACAACUGGAUCAGAUGUCAUUGAGGGUUUGAUUGCGUCAGAAAAAAAUGGUAUGGCAGCAAUUGAGGCAAGCUCGCCCCAUAACCGACCUGCUGACUUGACCGUCUACUCGAGUAAUCCUUUAACUCGCCCACAGAGCUCAUGCUCGACAAAACUGCUUAAUCAGAAGCUAGAGUCUCACAAUUUUGCAUCAGACGAUUGGUUAAAACUCAUGGAGAGGUCUAAAUGGCAGGACAAAGCCAUAAGGGAGUUAACAGACACUGUGAGAAAUCUAAAGGAUCAAGUCAAAGUGCUCCAUGGGAAAGCCAACCAAGGACCACUCAAUAUCAAGGACGUACCAAAUGAUGAAGCCAUUGCUCUGGUUAGCAAAGAAAAAAAUGAAUUCACAUUUGAUUGGUCUAUAGAAGAAGACUAUCCGGAUGAUCAGAAAGAAGCUUACUUUAAAGAAUCGGCCAUUGAGUACUCAGUUGCAGACUUGUCAAGAGAGCAUGCUGAGUUUGAUGAUCCAUCUACUGGGGAAGAAGAGGAGGCCGCAUUUCAUCUCCACAAACCUCCCUAGGCCUAAUAAGUGUGAGGAGUCAAGCUAGAGACUUAAAACAAGCUCACUUGGGAGGAAGUCCCAUGACUAUCCUUGUAUAUAGUUUUUAUUUUCUUGUUGUUUUUGAUUUGUGUUGGUAGUGUUUUUUUAGUUCUCAAGAGGCGUAAUUGUCAAGAGCAGUAACAGAAGAAAUAUGGUGAACACACUCGAUCGCAACGUCGGGGUAUCAUUGAUGCCUUGCGAUCGAGUGCUUUGGUUUAGGGGAAGGCUACAGUUCGAAAUUUUUAUUGAACAUACUCGAUCACGAGAUCGCAUGAACGCCGUGCUCCACAACCUGCUGGGGUUGCAAUUGAGCACGAUGAUGAGGAGAUGGCGGAAGCGCAGCUAGGACCUGUCAUGCCUACGGAUUACACUCAAGCGGAGAUGGAUGACUACAUCUCCAGGCAAUUUUCCUGAGGUAACACACCAAAAAACAAUUGUAAAUACCGUUUUUGUUUUUGUUUCUUGUGUUUAUCUUGAAUUCUUUCACAAAUUUUUAUUACACAAGGGACUGUGUAAUUUAAGUUUGGGGGAGGGUUCAAGACGUAUUUGACUUAUUUUUUGUGAAUAUCAUUUGAGUCUGCAUAUCAUCUAAAACAUAGAAAAAAAACAAAAAAAUUUGAAAAUUUCUGAAAAUGUGUUCCACAAAAACAGAGUGCUCAUGUAGCUGCAUUGCAUUUAGGAUCGAGUCUAGAGUGUUUCAUUUAGGAUUGUUGCAUAUGCAUAGGGGAUAAUGAGGAAAUAACCUUGUAAGCAUGUUGAUUUACUGAAUAAACUCAAUGCCCUCGUUACUAGUUGUCUGAUGCAUUUGAAUGACUUUGAAGUAAAACUGCACCAUGUUCUAUAGAAACCACUCGAUAGCAUGUCAUGAAACCUUUCCCUGUCAAUUUGAACUUGAAUCUGACUUAUAAUUAUCAUGUUUGCAUCGGUUUUGAACUCGUGGAUAGAAUACAUACUUGGAUUUUCUUUCACUUAUUCACCACUCUUGUUAAUCCAAGUAGCUGCUUCUGUUAUUGGAGUAGUUUCCCCACCCUUAACCAACCCUUCUUUCAAGCCAUGUUAUUUGUGAGAGCAUGUGAGGCCUAUUUCAGGAUUGAGCUUGGUAGAACGUGUUAGGUUUGAGCCGACAAGAGUAGUAUCUCAUGUAGUUCCAAUCCGCAUUUUCGGACUUGGUAGGACUAGGUGGGAACUUAUUUGGGAUUGAGAUUGAGUGUGAAAAGAAAAAAGAAAAAAAACGGGUUAAAGUCUUUAGGAGAAGGAAGUUGAAAAUCAUACUCAGGUCUAGUGAAUAUUUGGGAAGUAAAGAAUUGUUAAGUUAUGCUCUAAAAAAAAAAAAAAAAAAAAAAAAAAAAAAAUGGCAACAAAAACAGAAAAGAUUAUAAGAGCCAUAAGAGUUUAAGAAAAACCAAUUCACUAGACUAGACUCAUAGAGUAUAAGAAAGUUUCUCCUUAAGAACAAGAGCCAAAGAAAAGAAAAGACAGAUUGAUCCAAGAAAAAUAUCGAAAUAUGCCUUUAGUGCAAAAGGGUAGACUUAGGAUCAUCAAUGGGUUUAGAAAUAGGACCAUCUACUUGUUAUUCACAGUUUAUGUCAUUGGGUAGAUGGGAUGCUAUUCUUGUAUGCAUAGGUUGGCACUUACCUUUAGCAUUCUUCUAAAGCUCAGUCUAUUCUUAUUGAGAGUCCGCUGUUAUUAAAAUCUGAACCACCUUAAAGGGACCAUCUUUGUCUCAUAACCUGUCCUUAGCCAAACGAGUUCACUAACGUUGCACAGCUUGAUUCAUGAUUUUGAACUUAAUGAAUGUUAAAGGGAUUGGUUGAUUUUGACGCAUUAUGCAAUUGAGUGUGAGUUGGAUCUUGACAGAGCAUGGCUAAAGUUUUUGAGUAGAAGUCGUUCACCACGCAUCUUAGAACUAUUAACUUGGACAUUGAGCUUAAUUACUUCAUCACAUGUUUUGGUUCUGAGUCCCCAACUUCAAACCUCUCCUCCCGCUUAUGUUUUCUUGUUUGCUUGAGGGCAAGCAAAGACUAAGUUUGGGGGAGUUGAUAUGUCUAUAAUUUGCAUGAUUUAAGCAUUCAUUCUUCAUCACUUUGUCAUUGUUUCAAUCACAUUUCAUCUCAUUAGUAGUCGUUUUAGUGUGUUUUGCAUACUUAGGACGUUUUUGCAUUAGGAUUGCAUGUGCAUUGCAUAUUUGGUUGUUUUCAGGUACUUUGGAUGCUUUUGGAGUUCAAACAGAGGAGAAACAGAACAGAAAUUCAGAACGCUCAAUCACUCCCUCAGCCAAAGCACUCGAUCGCAACCUCGGAGCCCUGACAGAGCAAAGCACUCGAUCGCAACCCCAGAAACUGUUAUGAAGGGCAAAACCACUCGAUCACAACCCCGGAGCAAUUUCAGAAGAAACCACUCGAUCGCAAGAUCGAGCAGAAGCUGUCAUGAAGGACAUAUCACUCGAUAACAACCCUGGAGAAGCCAGCAGCUUAGUUUCACUCGAUCGCAAGCUCGGAGGGAUCACCCACUCUACACCACUCGAUCACCACCUUGUCAUCAGAAGCCCAUCUACUCAUUCCUCACUCAACCAGACAAGCUGAGCAUACGGAAGAGAAGAGAAGCUGAAGAAACCACUCGAUCACCACCUCACAUCAUUUACUCGAUCGCACCACUCGAUCGCAAGGUCGCUGGACCAUUCCAUCUCGUCUUCACUAUAGACCACUCGAUCGCAAGACAGAGUUCCCGAAGCCCAGUUUGAUCAGUUUCACUCGAUCACAGGGAAGCCCAUUUCAGCCCAUCAGAUGCUUGAUCGCAAAGUCUUGUUGUGAAGACCACUAUCCCGAACUUUCCUUAUUUAACUUUUUUCGCUUAUAUAAGCAGCCUCUAAGGGUUUUCCCUAGGGCAUCCAGUUUUUAUUUUCAGUUUUUACCUAGACUCGUUUUGGUAGCCGCAGUGUGUUCUUCCUGCGACUUUGUAUUUGC